GCAUUCAGAACUUGUCACCCUGAACCAGCCCGAUCCCGACUGAUCUUGGAAGCUAAGCAGGGUCGGGCCUGGCCAGUACUUGGAUGGGAGACCACCUAGGAAGACCAGGUGCUGUAAGCA
rnacentral:rRNA from 1 species